UGGAUUGAAGCCAGUUGUUUUAGGUGUUUAGCUGUUAACUAAGAUUUUGCAGGUUAAAGUCCUGUCAAUCCAG
rnacentral:tRNA from 1 species